GGAAGUGUAGUUCAAUGGUAGAACCCUUGUUUUGCAUAUAUGGGGUUCCGGGUUCGGUUCCUGGCACCACUA
rnacentral:tRNA from 1 species